rnacentral:rRNA from 1 species
GGGGCUACCAUGCAGUCGAACGAUGAAGCCCAGCUUGCUGGGUGGAUUAGUGGCGAACGGGUGAGUAACACGUGAGUAACCUGCCCUUAACUCUGGGAUAAGCCUGGGAAACUGGGUCUAAUACCGGAUAGGAGCGCCUACCGCAUGGUGGGUGUUGGAAAGAUUUAUCGGUUUUGGAUGGACUCGCGGCCUAUCAGCUUGUUGGUGAGGUGAUGGCUCACCAAGGCGACGACGGGUAGCCGGCCUGAGAGGGUGACCGGCCACACUGGGACUGAGACACGGCCCAGACUCCUACGGGAGGCAGCAGUGGGGAAUAUUGCACAAUGGGCGCAAGCCUGAUGCAGCGACGCCGCGUGAGGGAUGACGGCCUUCGGGUUGUAAACCUCUUUCAGUAGGGAAGAAGCGAAAGUGACGGUACCUGCAGAAGAAGCACCGGCUAACUACGUGCCAGCAGCCGCGGUAAUACGUAGGGUGCGAGCGUUAUCCGGAAUUAUUGGGCGUAAAGAGCUCGUAGGCGGUUUGUCGCGUCUGUCGUGAAAGUCCGGGGCUUAACCCCGGAUCUGCGGUGGGUACGGGCAGACUAGAGUGCAGUAGGGGAGACUGGAAUUCCUGGUGUAGCGGUGGAAUGCGCAGAUAUCAGGAGGAACACCGAUGGCGAAGGCAGGUCUCUGGGCUGUAACUGACGCUGAGGAGCGAAAGCAUGGGGAGCGAACAGGAUUAGAUACCCUGGUAGUCCAUGCCGUAAACGUUGGGCACUAGGUGUGGGGACCAUUCCACGGUUUCCGCGCCGCAGCUAACGCAUUAAGUGCCCCGCCUGGGGGAGUACGGCCGCAAGGCUAAAACUCAAAGGAAUUGACGGGGGCCCGCACAAGCGGCGGAGCAUGCGGAUUAAUUCGAUGCAACGCGAAGAACCUUACCAAGGCUUGACAUGUUCUCGAUCGCCGUAGAGAUACGGUUUCCCCUUUGGGGCGGGUUCACAGGUGGUGCAUGGUUGUCGUCAGCUCGUGUCGUGAGAUGUUGGUUAAGUCCCGCAACGAGCGCAACCCUCGUUUCAUGUUGCCAGCACGUAAUGNGGGNCCUCAUGGGANACUGCCCGGGUCACUCGGAGAAGGUGAGGACGACGUCAAUCAUCAUGCCCCUUAUGUUCUUGGGGCCUUCCACCCAGCCUAACAGCGG